GGGCGUGUGGCUCAGUUGGUAGAGCGUUCGCUUAGCAUACUCACUAUUCCUGUAUGCGAAAGGUCCUGGGUUCGAUUCCCAGCUCGUCCA